CCCCGAGCAUUUCGUAUUUUUUGCGAUGGUAUCAUAACCAUAAACAGCUGAUAUAUCACCAAAGUAAGCGGUUAAUUGAAAUUAUAAUUUUAAAGUUGUAUUAGCCCACAGUUUUUAACAUAUUGAUGGCCAAUUCACGAAAAGAUUAUACAAAAUGGAGCCCCUACGUCGAGGCCAUUCUUUUUGAUUUAUGGGAGGAAUAUUCAACGCAUGGGUGCCAAACUAACCGAAGCUGGCUUCGAAAGUUUAUGUUGGCAAAACGUGCGAUCUAAAAUAGAUAAUGCAACGCGGAAGUACAACAUCUGGAGAGGCGCCAUCAGGAUGGAGCCAGUUUGAGUGGGGACACCGAA